rnacentral:pre_miRNA from 1 species
UCGGGGUAAAAUAGUAAGUACCCGACUUGGGGAAGUGAUCGACCCUUAGGAUGAGUUUAAAUCUGUUUUUUUUUACUCCAUAAACUUUCUACCAUGAGUAAAAUGAUUCUUGUUGGGGUAUAAAAAAAAAUCAGAUUUAAAUUUAGCCCAAGGGUUGGUGAUGUAUUUUUCCUAAGAAGGCUGCUCACUAUUUUACCCAAU